AACUAUCAUGUAUAAAAUUAGAAGAGGUCAGGUAGUUCUCCAAUGCAUUUGAUCCUCAUUUGAAGGUCCUCAAGGAAAAAAGAUUUCAGACUUGUAGACUAAAUUGCUAUGAUCACCAGCAACUUCGAUUGUUUUUAGCUGAUUCCAUUCUCUCUUUUCUGACUAAUAUGCACUGGACUGCACUCCUCAUUCAUACUCUUGUCUUAUAUAUAU
rnacentral:misc_RNA from 1 species